UCCGCUCCUGGCUCGCGACUCCCCAGUGCCCUAGCCCAGAAAAGCGGAUUGGAGCCCGGGAAGCUCAUUGCGAUUGCAAAGGUUGGAGUGCAGUGGCACAAUCACAGCUCAUUGUAACCUGAACUCCUGGGUUCAACCGAGCCUCCCACCUCAGCCUCCCAAGUAGUUGGGACUACAGGUCACGCUGAUGCAAGAGAUGGGUUCCCAUGGUCUUGGGCAGCUCCACUCCUGUGGCUUUGCAGGGUACAGGCUUCUUCCUGGCUGCUUUCACGGGCUGGUGGCUCAACACCAUGUGGAAGCUGCCAAGGCUUGGGGCUUCCACCCUCUGAAACCACAGCCUGAGCUCUGUGUUGGUGCCUUUCAGCCAUGGCUGGAGCAGCGGGGACACAGGACACCAAGUCCCUAGGAUGCACACAGCACAGGAACCCAGGGCCUGGCCCACAAAACCACUUUUUCCUCCUGGACCUCUGGACCUGUGAUGGAAGGGGCUGCCGGGAAGUUCUCUGACAUGGCCUGGAGACACUUCCUCCAUGGUCUUGGGGAUUAACAUUAGGCUCCUUGCUACGUAAUGCAAAUUUCUGCAGCCGGCUUGAAUUUCUCCCCAGAAAAUGGGCUUUUAUUUCUAUUACAAGUUACUUCUUAUUUUUUUCUUUUCUUUUCUUUUCUUUUUUUUUUUUUUUUUUUGAGACAGAGUCUUGCUCUGUUGCCCAGGCUGGAGUGCAGUGGUGUGAUCUCAGCUCACUGCAACCUCUGCCUCCUGGGUUCAAGCGGUUCUUCUGUCUCAGCCUCCUGAGUAGCUGGCACCAGGUGCACGCCAUUGCACAUGGCUAAUUUUUUGUAUUUUUGGUAGAGAUAGGGUUUCACCAUGUUGGCCAGGCUGGUCUUGAACUCCUGACCUCAGGUAAUCUGCCCACCUUGGCUUUCUGAAGUGCUGAGAUUACAGGCUUGAGCCACUGCUCCCAGCCUGCAAGCUACCUCUUGAAUGCUUUGCUGCUUAGAAAUUUCUUCUACCAGAUACCCUAAAUCAUCUCUCUCAAGUUCAAAGUUCUACAGAUCUCUAGGGCAGGGGCAAAAUGCCGCCAGUCUCUUUGCUAAAACAUAACAAGAGUCACCUCUGCUCCAGUUCCCAACAAGUUCCACAUCCCCAUCUGAGACCACCUCAGCCUGAAUUUUAUUGUCCAUAUCACUAUCAGCAUUUUGGCAAAGCCAUUCAACAAGUCUCUAGGAAGUUUGAAACAUUCCCACAUUUUCCUGUCUUCUUCUGAGCCCUCCAAACUGUUCCAACCUCUGCCUGUUACAGUUUCAAAGUCACUUCCACAUUUUUGCCUAUCUUUUCAGCAACACUCCACUCCUGGUACCAAUUUACUGUAUUCAUCCAUUUUUGCACUGCUGACAAUGACAUACCCAAAACUGGGAACAAAAAGAGAUUUUUUGGGUUUUUUUGUUUUUGUUUGAGAUGGAGUCUUACUCUGUCACCCAGGCUGGAGUGCAGUGGCGCAGUCUCAGCUCACUGCAACCUCC